CACGUAGGGGGGCAAGCGUUGUCCGGAUUUAUUGGGCGUAAAGAGCUCGUAGGCGGUUCGGUAAGUUGGGUGUGAAACCUCCAGGCUCAACCUGGAGACGCCACCCGAUACUGCUGUGACUAGAGUCCGGGUAGGGGAGCGUGGAAUUCCUGGUGUAGCGGUGAAAUGCGCAGAUAUCAGGAGGAACACCGGUGGCGAAGGCGGCGCUCUGGACCGAGACUGACGCUGAGGCGCGAAAGCGUGGGGAGCAAACAGG
rnacentral:rRNA from 1 species